CGGGGGGGGCAAGCGUUGUUCGGAAUUACUGGGCGUAAAGGGCGCGUAGGCUGCUCGCUAAGUCGGGUGUGAAAACUCUGGGCUCAACCCAGAGCCUGCAUUCGAAACUGACGAGCUAGAGUUCUGGAGGGGAAAGCGGAAUUCCUGGUGUAGCGGUGAAAUGCGUAGAUAUCAGGAGGAACACCGGUGGCGAAGGCGGCUUUCUGGACAGAAACUGACGCUGAGGCGCGAAAGCUAGGGGAGCAAACAGGAUUAGAUACCCUGGUAGUCCUAGCCCUAAACGAUGGAUACUUGCUGUGAGGGGGAUUGAAUCCCUUCGUGGCGAAGCUAACGCAUUAAGUACCCCGCCUGGGGAGUACGGUCGCAAGGCUG
rnacentral:rRNA from 1 species